ACAGCAAAAGUGAAUAAUAUUGAAAAGUGAAAAAAAAAUUGAAAAAGUGUACGUUUAUCUCAUUGUUUAUUUAUUAAUUUUUAUAAAGAAAAUGUCAGCAAGUUAAAUUACAAAUAUGGAAAAGGCUAAAAUAAAAACGAUGGCAAAAAGAGGCAGAAAAUUUAAUUUUGCAAAAAAGAAGUAAAACUGAAUAUGAGAAAAAUGAAGAAAAUGUCCAGAAACGUGAAUUGGUGAAGAAAAAUGAGACAGAACUAGAUUUAAAGAGAUUAGCAAAAACCGAUAAAUUAGCCUGCCAAUACAGCUGGAAGGGGACAGGGUAAAUUUGAGCACAGAAAAGUUUUAUUUAUUCACAGUAAUCAAAAAUAUGUGUCAUCUCAAAUACUCAAGCAACGACAAGGAUAUGAACACAAUCCUGCAAAAACAUUUUGUUCACGUUAGAGACCGCGUUACAAAUAGAAAACGGCCCGAUUGCAGUUCCCGAUUUUUUAUUUUUUAUUUUUUGAUUUUG